rnacentral:rRNA from 1 species
UACGAAGGGGGCUAGCGUUGCUCGGAAUCACUGGGCGUAAAGGGCGCGUAGGCGGUUCGUACAGUCAGACGUGAAAUUCCUGGGCUCAACCUGGGGGCUGCGUUUGAUACGUGCGGACUUGAGUGCAGAAGAGGGUCGUGAAAUUCCCAGUGUAGAGGUGAAAUUCGUAGAUAUUGGGAAGAACACCGGUGGCGAAGGCGGCGACCUGGUCCGAUACUGACGCUGAGGCGCGAAAGCGUGGGGAGCAAACAGG